rnacentral:snRNA from 1 species
GUAUGUGAGGGCAAUCUGACUGUGACAUCUGUCAUCCCAUUGAUUGCCAGGGUUGAUUUGGCUGAUCUGGCUGGCUAGGCCAGUGUCCCCUUCCUUCCUUACCACUCCAUGUGCGUCCCUCUUGAAGCUGCAUGCUUGGUCAAAGAGGACACUGUUCCCUGAGUAGAGGAGGAGGAGCAGUCUCUGGUGAAGGGUGUACAAGUAGCUGCGCUCCCCUGCUAGAACCUCCAGACAAGCUCUCAAGACCCCGUGUCAAGUAAAUGAAGGUGCAGUGUGCUAUUUGAAGUCACUUCCCAGGUGCUGUGCUGACAGCCAUUGCUU